rnacentral:lncRNA from 11 species
GAAACAGCACAAAGCAAGGCACAUUUCAUCAUGCUAUGUUGAGAAUUGCUGUAUUAUUAUCAUUCUAUUUAACUACAUACAACAAAUGUGCUACUAGAACUGUCAUCUAUCUUGAAAAAGUAACACUUAGUGUGCCAGAGCACAGCAGCCGACCCCAGUGCCGCCAGCACCACCAGCAUCACACAGUUGACAACGUGGACUUGGAAGCAAGUCCUCUGCAUUUCUUCCUAAACCCUCACAAAGAUGGAUGACAGCAAAAAAGCCACAGCACAUACUCUUUUGGAUGACCCAAGGACGCCUUUCAAAGUGCAACAUUUUCUCUCAUGUGGAGCUACAAGGAGAUAGUUUGCACACGUAGCUGCUACAGAACUGUUCCAUUGUUCUCUGGAGAGAUUGCAGAAAAUUUAGCUUGAUUCGCAGGACUAUUAUGUUGCCAUUUAUUGGAAACCCUAAGACGUCAAGGCUACAUUACAUUCAGACAUGAAUAAUCCAUGGGGAUGAGUGAGGUGGAUAAAACUGAGACUUGAGUCUCUUUCUCUGCCAAGUCCAGGAUUUGAUGAAUGCAAGAUGAAAGCAACAGACAGUGACUUUAUAUUUCAAUGCUGCAUAUUAUAGACACCUCAGGACCUCAAGGGCACAUAGAUGCUUCCCCUCCAGGUCUCUUCUACACACUGAAUAUUAUGAUCUUUAAAGGGUUGUUCAGCAUUACCUUGUUUCUUGUCUGUGCUCCCAAAAUGUUAAUAAACAC